GGCUGAACAACAUGACGCUAUUUUUGAAGCCGAGUUGGAGGAAAAGGGUGGUUGGUGGCACCUUCAAGGGCAGCUAUAGAAAACUUCUGUUGUCCACUGAAAGGGACACUAUUCG
rnacentral:lncRNA from 1 species